UGAAGGGCACUAGUAAGAACAUCAGUAAUCAAACAAUAAGUUCGUGCCAUAUUGGAGAAGAGAGAAUAGAGGAAGCCUCGCCCAGAGUGGAAGGGGACAUUUCGUGGGGGUAGUGAGAAGAGGAAUACAGUUGGAAUUGGCAGGCAGGAAGGAAAAAGUGGGAGGACUGGGGCAUUACAGGGAGACGUAAGGGAAGUGGUGUGGGGGGGGGAGGAGAAUAGGAGGAAGGAGAAAGAGAAGAGAGGAGAGAAACCUCAGAGUCACAGCACAGUAGGAGGAUUGAAGUGCUGGUGGGAGAGGAUGUGCUGAGAAGGAGAUGGAGCAGGCGAGGAGAUGGGCUGGGGAGACAGAUGGGCACUCCUGAGCCCUCUGUCUCUGCUCUGAAGGGGCCACAGCCUCCAGGCUGCCAGACUCCCUGGCAAGGCUUCUCCCUCCUCCUCCUCUCUUUCAUGAGUCCUGUGAAGGAUGGAGCAACAGUCUUCCUGGGGAGAGGAAGUGAGCUGUUCUGUCACACUGCCCUGUACGUGGCCCUGGCACAUCAUGUGGUUCCAGAGACAGCCAGCUCCGGACCAGCUACCGAAGAAGGAAAAGCAGAGGGAUCCUGGUGUGGAGAUGGGGACUUAAUCUAACUUUAUCCCACUCUUUCUUCUCCUUCAGCCCUAACCAGAUUUACCAAAUGAGCUUUCCUCAGAUCUCCAAAGAAGCCACUUGGGGUUACAAUAGUUGAGUGUUAAAGAAGGUAUGCAUUUAGCAAGUGGCUGAAGACAUUUGCCGAGAUGCUUGUCCUCUGACCCCCUGCAGCUUGACUGAUGUAAUGGGAGAGAUAUGUUGGCUAUAUUUAUGCAGUCAAGCCUCUGAAGAGAUGGAAUUUAUCUGGACAUCACUGGAAAACAAAUUUUGUUGUGAAACCUCUGAAGAUGUGUUUUCUCGAGAGCAUCUGAAAGGAGGAGUUUACAGAGCCAUCCUUCUAAGGGUCUGUGAUUCCAUUGCCUUUUUGGUGGUGCUCCUAAUUCCUUCAUGACCCGGCUGAUACAACUGUGAACUAGGAAGUAGGAUUCAACCAAGACUCCAACUUGCAGGCCCCUUGAUCAGUGCUUUGCCUCUAUAAGUGGUCCAGUUCUGGUUAGGGGUACAGAUAGGGAUCACAGAUCAGGGAGAAGACAAAUGGCUCAUUAGGAGAACCAAACCCAUUGUCUUGGUUGCAUUAAUUCUACACACCAACCCACUAGGGCAAAAGGCAGGUAAAGUACACCUCUCAAAACUGAUGGCCCAUCUAUAACAUCUUCAAGGGCUUCUGAGGUUCUAAGACAUAAACAUUUUGGGAAAUAUGCCUUCAAAUGAGAUGAUAGUAUCACCCACCCAAUAAUCAUCUUGUUUUUAGUUUAAGCCUCUCCUUGUCAUGUUUAAAAAAAUCAUAUGUAGUCACUAUGAAAAUUUCAAAUACUGAAGAGCACAGGAAGAAUGCAGAAACUUACUGCCACUUCCCAAAUGCAGAAAUGGCCAUCAUAAACAUUGGGGAGCUGUCCUUCCAGAUACCUUUGUGCUCAUAUUCCUGAACAGCAAAAGAAAAAAUGGAAAGACAAAAUUAUUUCCUAGAAAUAGGAUAAUGUCUUAUGAGCUAUUAUUUUUGUUUUGUUUUUGUUUUUUUGAGCUAUUGUUUUUUAACGGAAAGUAUCAUAUUUAAUUUUGUGUGACUUGAACAAAAGAAAAAUGAAUUAAAGUGAAACUAGAGAAACUGCUAAA